rnacentral:rRNA from 1 species
CGUGAGCUGGGUUUAGAACGUCGUGAGACAGUUCGGUCCCUAUCUUCCGUGGGUGUAGGAUACUUGAGAGGAGUUGCCCCUAGUACGAGAGGACCGGGGUGAACGAUCCACUGGUGUACCAGUUGUUCCGCCAGGAGCAGUGCUGGGUAGCUAUGAUCGGACAGGAUAACCGCUGAAGGCAUCUAAGCGGGAAGCCCCCCUCAAAACAAGGUAUCCCUGAGAGCCGAGGUAGACCACCUCGUCGAUAGGCCAGAGAUGUAAGUGCAGUAAUGCAUUCAGUUGACUGGUACUAAUUGCUCGAUAGGCUUGAU